CUCUCUAUCUCAUCACGGAUUGUCAAUUCCAUCUUUUCUCUUCCCUCUUUCGUUUGGACGGAUUCUUUUCUGAUCCAUGCACCAUAAUCGAUUGGUGGGUAUCGGUGGACCUUUGCUAUUCAUUCAAACUCAUGCCUCUGAAUGAGAUAUUUUCGACCUUAAAUCAACUUGGGCUGGGCGUUCCCAAUCACUCCAGUUCACUGCUCACGCAUCCCUUUUUUGUUUUCGUCUCUUUUUUUGUAGGAAAGAUUGUGAGAAAUCUGUGGGAUUCCUCCCCUGCUUCGCUUCAAUUUCGGUUUGUUUUUCUCUCGUUGAAGUUGGUCUCGGAACCUGAGUUUUCCGCUGCAAGCACAAGCGCUUAACGUGCCACAUGGGAUUGGGGUUUAUCGGCAAACGCCAAGAUUGGGUUUCCGGAGGAUUACGGACACAAUUACGAUGGAAUCGCAACUGGGUUUGAUUGAACAAUCGUUCAAUGUUCAGUACUCAGUUUAUGUCCGGGAAGUGCUCGACGAAUUGCCUGACAGUUUCACUAUAACUGACCCUUGCAUUUCGGGGCACCCAAUUGUGUUCGCUUCUCGUGGAUUCUUGAAAAUGACAGGUUAUUCCAGGGAUGAAGUGAUCGGUAAGAACGGGAGGAUGUUUCAAGGUCCCAAGACUGACCGUCGAUCAGUUAUGGAGAUUAGAGAGGCGAUAAGAGAGGAGAGGAGCAUACAAAUCAGUAUGUUAAAUUAUCGUCGAGAUGGGACACCAUUUUGGAUCUUGUUUCACAUGUUUCCCGUGUUCAGUAGGGAGGAUGGUAGGGUGAUUCAUUUUGUUGGAGUUCAAGUGCCAAUUCUGCACAAACAGAGGUGUUCGGCAAGUGGGUUUGGGCGGAAUGGGGUUAACUUGUGUGAAGAUGGUUGUGGGUUUCGGGAGUCUCUACUCGGGUCUUGCAGGCGGGAGGUGUGCUCUGAUUCUGUUGUGGAAUUGGGUCAUGUGUUGGCUAUGAAUUUGGGGAUAGAUUCAGAUGAUAGAGAGAUAGAAGUUAAAGGAUGCUGUGAAGCAAGUGAUCUAGAGAAGCGGAGAGCUACAACUUCAAUUAACAGCAUAUUGUCCGUACUAAGCCACUUCAGCGAGUUAACAGGCAGAUUAGUUUGCGGGAAGAGGUGCUGCUUACCUGGGAUGGGUCUUCUUGGUUCAUUAAAUAUACCUCUUGGUAGAAUCAAACAAAGCUUUGUAUUAACUGAUCCAAAUUUACCUGAUAUGCCCAUUGUGUAUGCAAGUGACGCCUUCCUAAAUCUUACAGGCUAUGCUAGACAUGAAAUUUUGGGUCGCAAUUGUAGAUUUUUAAGUGGGGAGGACACAGAUUUGUCUGCAAUAUUCCAGAUAAAGCAGAGUAUUCAAGCUGAGCAAGCUUGCACAGUACGUAUCUUAAAUUACAGGAAGGACAAAAGCUCGUUUUGGAACUUCCUGCACAUUUCACCUGUUCGGAAUGCUUCUGGCAAGGCUUUCUUCUUGUGAAAUUUCUAGUACUUGUCCUUAUUUUAGAACCAGAGACAACCAAUUCUGGGUAUGAUACUUAUCAAAGGAGAGUCUUAUCUAGCAGAAAAAUAAAAAGGAAGAGAUAAUAAGCAAAUGAGCAAUGAAAAAGGGGAGUCCCUAAUGCAUGAGGCUCCCUGCUUUACUAUGAUCAGGGGAGGGUUGUUUUCGUAUGGAGCCUACUCUUGCUUCUUCAAGCCUACUCUUGCUUCGUGAAGAAGCUAUUUUUACACUUCGAACUUUUAACCUUCCAAUUACAAAGGAGCAACUUUAUCAUUGCUAUCAAGGCUCACCCUAAAAUUAGUUUUGCGGGGGGGUGGACAGGAAGUUCUUUCUUUGACAUCAAAGAAAGAGAAUAGAAAAAAAUAAUUUUCGGAAAAUUGCUAUUUAGUAAGGGCAACAUGUACAAACCAUAAACCCGGUGCCGGUGGUGACAUUGUGUUUCCAAUUCCUUGCUGUGGUGUCCUGUCUCACCACCAUCUGCAUGGCUCUUGUGGUACGCCAAUGAUCUUAGAGAGAAGAUGAAAAAAGGGGGGCAUUAAUCCAGUUUGAAAUGAUAUUGGAUAUCACCAUCUAUGUAGGCCACUUUACAUGAGCUGAUUGAUCCAAGUCCAGUCACGUUGCAUGCAUUCUGGGGUUUUGGCAUGGGAGUUACAAAAGUAUUUUUAAUUGCUUAAACAUGAAACACUGAUGAAGGAAAACUUUAUAGCACACGGCUCUCCUUUUAGAUGAUUUUUUACAUCUAAUGAGGGCUAGUGUAGGUUGCACGGAAACAGAAAUACAAAACAAAUAUUAUACCAACGGAAAUGAGAAAAUGAUAUUUAAAAAAAAAAGGGUAAGAAAUGAAAACGCGUAAAUAAAAAACAUAUAGAGAUUUUUUUAUAAAUUAAUUUUUAAUAUAAAAAAUUAUAAAAAAUAGUUAUUUAAUCAAAUUAUUCAGACAUACAUACUUUCAUACAUUCAUUAAAAAAAAAAAAAGUUU